rnacentral:rRNA from 1 species
UACGGAGGGUGCGAGCGUUGUCCGGAAUCACUGGGCGUAAAGGGCGCGUAGGCGGUGCCACAAGUCACCUGUGAAAUCUCCGGGCUUAACUCGGAGCCUGCAGGCGAAACUGUGGUGCUGGAGUGUGGGAGGGGAUGGCGGAAUUGCUAAUGUAGAGGUGAAAUUCGUAGAUAUUAGCAGGAACACCGGUGGCGAAGGCGGCCAUCUGGACGACAACUGACGCUGAGGCGCGAAAGCGUGGGGAUCAAACAGG